rnacentral:rRNA from 1 species
CCCUUAGAUGUUCUGGGCCGCACGCGCGCUACACUGACAAAGUCAACAAGUAAUUUACCUUAACCGAAAGGUUUGGGUAAUCUUUUGAAACUUUGUCGUGCUGGGACUUGACGAUUGUAAUUAUUUGUCACAAACGAGGAAUUCCUAGUAAGCGCAAGUCAUCAACUUGCAUUGAUUACGUCCCUGCCCUUUGUACACACCGCCCGUCGCUCCUACCGAUUGAAUGUUCCGGUGAACACUUUGGAACUUGCAUUUUAUGUUGGUAACAUCAUAAUAAUGAUUAGUGAAGCUGUGUAAACCUUAACAUUUAGAGGAAGGAGAANUCGUANCA